rnacentral:rRNA from 1 species
GGCCAGACUCCUACGGGAGGCAGCAGUGAGGAAUAUUGGUCAAUGGCCGGAAGGCUGAACCAGCCAAGUCGCGUGAGGGACGACUGCCCUAUGGGUUGUAAACCUCUUUUAUAAGGGAAGAAUAAAUGCUACGUGUAGCAUGAUGCCUGUACCUUAUGAAUAAGCAUCGGCUAACUCCGUGCCAGCAGCCGCGGUAAUACGUAGGGAGCAAGCGUUGUCCGGAAUUACUGGGCGUAAAGGGCGCGUAGGUGGGCGCUUAAGUCAGGUGUGAAAACUCCGGGCUCAACCUGGAGACUGCACUUGAAACUGGGUGUCUUGAGGGCAGGAGAGGAAAGUGGAAUUCCUAGUGUAGCGGUGAAAUGCGUAGAUAUUAGGAGGAACACCAGUGGCGAAGGCGGCUUACUGGACUGUAACUGACGUUGAGGCUCGAAAGCGUGGGGAGCAAACAGGAUUAGAUACCCUUGUA